rnacentral:piRNA from 1 species
GUCAAUUUCACCCCACGACAU